rnacentral:rRNA from 1 species
GACGAACGCUGGCGGCGUGCUUAACACAUGCAAGUCGAACGAUGAAGCCGCUUCGGUGGUGGAUUAGUAGCGAACGGGUGAGUAACACGUGGGCAAUCUGCCCUGCACUCUGGGACAAGCCCUGGAAACGGGGUCUAAUACCGGAUAUGACCAUCGGCCGCAUGGCCUGGUGGUGGAAAGCUCUGGUGGUGCAGGAUGAGCCCGCGGCCUAUCAGCUUGUUGGUGGGGUGAUGGCUUACCAAGGCGACGACGGGUAGCCGGCCUGAGAGGGCGACCGGGCACACUGGGAGUGCGACACGGCCCAGACUCCUACGGGAGGCAGCAGUGGGGAAUAUUGCACAAUGGGCGCAAGCCUGAUGCAGCGACGCCGCGUGAGGGAUGACGGCCUUCGGGUUGUAAACCUCUUUCAGCAGGGAAGAAGCUUUCGGGUGACGGUACCUGCAGAAGAAGCACCGGCUAACUACGUGCCAGCCGCCGCCGUAA